UUAUGUUAUAGAAAAUCAAAAGUCACUUACCCGCGUCGUUUUCUCUUUAUUUUUCCCACACAUGGCUUCGCUACCUCUUCUUCUUCCAUUACAACGCUUUCGCUCACCCCCUUCUUCCUUCCAUUCUCUUCUUUCUCUUUUAUCUUUCUGUUGCCCAAGUUGCAAGUCAGUUGUGAAAACUAUUCAACAUGCUUUUAGAUCAAGUUGGAUGGAUGUUCAACUCUCGAAAGACCUACUUUGCGGCUGGGAGGAAUGUCAGUCUCUGAAGAAACUGAAAAGCAUUUGGAAGAGUGUGAGUAUGCAUUGCAAGGGGUUUGUGGAAUGGGAGAAACUAAAUGUUUUUCUAAAGGGAAGUCUACUACUGUACAGUCUUAGAAGUUCACGUGUAUUAGUUUAUUAGAUCUCUGGUGUAAAUAACAUUUUAUUGUGAUAGUAUAUAUGCAGAUUCUUUUUCAUGAGUGUAUGGUAGAAUCUAUUGAUUUUAUGAGAAGAUAUUACUAAGGCCGCCUCUGUAAGAAUAACUAGCACUUAGUCGAUGGUAUUUGGCACUUAGUCGAUGGUAUUUGGCUUUGUUAUUGAAACUUUUGUUAACUCACUAAUGAUUGUGUUUGAUACCAUAA